GGAGUUUGGACCGUGUCUCAGUUCCAAUGUGGCCGAUCACCCUCUCAGGUCGGCUACCGAUCGUAGGCUUGGUGAGCCGUUACCUCACCAACUACCUAAUCAGAUGCGAGCCCCUCCUGUACCGAUAAAUCUUUUCUUACUCCUCCAUGCGAAGGUGUAAGCUUAUGAGGCAUUAGCAGUGAUUUCUCACUGUUAUUCCUCUGUACAGGGCAGGUUGCUCACACGUUACUCACCCGUCCGCCGCUAAAGAUUCAAAAGCAAGCUCUCAAAUCUUCCGCUCGACUUGCAUGUGUUAGGCACGCCGCCAGCGUUCAUC
rnacentral:rRNA from 1 species